UCCAGACUCCUACGGGAGGCAGCAGUGGGGAAUAUUGCACAAUGGGGGAAACCCUGAUGCAGCGACGCCGCGUGAGCGAUGAAGUAUUUCGGUAUGUAAAGCUCUAUCAGCAGGGAAGAAAAUGACGGUACCUGACUAAGAAGCUCCGGCUAAAUACGUGCCAGCAGCCGCGGUAAUACGUAUGGAGCAAGCGUUAUCCGGAUUUACUGGGUGUAAAGGGAGCGCAGGCGGCGCGCCAAGUCUGGUGUGAAACCCCGGGGCUCAACCCCGGGACUGCAUUGGAAACUGGCGUGCUGGAGUGUCGGAGGGGCAGGCGGAAUUCCUGGUGUAGCGGUGAAAUGCGUAGAUAUCAGGAGGAACACCGGUGGCGAAGGCGGCCUGCUGGACGACAACUGACGCUGAGGCUCGAAAGCGUGGGGAGCAAACAGGAUUAGAUACCCUAGUACC
rnacentral:rRNA from 1 species